UCUUAUUGAAAAUAAUUUUAAGUCUAAUCUGCCCAAUGAAAAUUUUAAUGGCUGCAGUAUCAAUAACUGUACAAAGGUAGCAUAAUAAUUAGUUUUUUAAUUGAAAACUAGAAUGAAAGAUUAAAUGAAAUAUAAACUUUAUUAAUAAAAUUAAAAUUAAACUUAAAUUUUAAGUUAAAAUUCUUAAAUAUUAUUAAAAGACGAGAAGACCCUUUAGAAUUUUAUAUAAAUUAAAAUUAAAAUUAUAAAUAUUAAUAAUAUAAAUUUUAAUUAAUAUUUAAUUGGGGUAAUUUUUUAAUUUUAUAAACUUUAAAAUAAUAAAACAUUAAUUAAUGAACUUAUAAACCUAAAAAUUUAGAAUUUUAAAAUAAAUUACC
rnacentral:rRNA from 1 species